rnacentral:rRNA from 1 species
CCUACGGGAGGCAGCAGUGAGGAAUAUUGGUCAAUGGGCGGAAGCCUGAACCAGCCAAGUAGCGUGCGGGAUGAAGGCCCUACGGGUCGUAAACCGCUUUUGCACUGGGAUAACACCCUCCACUUGUGGAGGUCUGCAGGUACCGUGCGAAUAAGGGCCGGCUAAUUCCGUGCCAGCAGCCGCGGUAAUACGGAAGGCCCGAGCGUUAUCCGGAUUCAUUGGGCUUAAAGGGAGCGUAGGCGGGCGUUCAAGUCAGCUGUAAAAUCGCGCGGCUCAAACGCGCCCCGCAGUUGAAACUGGACGCAUUGAGUUCACAACAGGCAGGCGGAAUUCGUGGUGUAGCGGUGAAAUGCAUAGAUAUCACGAGGAACCCCGAUUGCGAAGGCAGCCUGCCGGGGUGCGACUGACGCUGAGGCUCGAAGGUGCGGGUAUCAAACAGGAUUAGAUACCCCAGUAGUC